rnacentral:rRNA from 1 species
AAUCAACGCUGGCGGCGUGCCUCAGACAUGCAAGUCGAACGAUUAAAGCUCUCUUCGGAGAGUGUAUAGAGUGGCGCACGGGUGAGUAACACGUAAGUAAUCUACCCUCGAGUGGGGAAUAACAACCGGAAACGGUUGCUAAUACCGCAUAAUGCAGCGGCACCGCAAGGUGACAGUUGUUAAAGAUUUAUCGCUUGAGGAGGAGCUUGCGGCAGAUUAGCUAGUUGGUAGGGUAACGGCUUACCAAGGCUACGAUCUGUAACCGGUCUAAGAGGACGGUCGGUCACACUGACACUGAAUAACGGGUCAGACUCCUACGGGAGGCAGCAGUCGGGAAUUUUGGGCAAUGGGCGAAAGCCUGACCCAGCAACGCCGCGUGAAGGAUGAAGUAUUUCGGUAUGUAAACUCCGAAAGAAUAGGAAGAAUUAAUGACGGUACUAUUUAUAAGGUCCGGCUAACUACGUGCCAGCAGCCGCGGU